rnacentral:rRNA from 1 species
GACGAACCGUGCGAACGUUGUUCGGAUUCACUGGGCUUAAAGGGCGCGUAGGCGGAUUCACAAGUCCGGGGUGAAAUCUUUCAGCUCAACUGGAAAAGUGCCUUGGAUACUGUGAGUCUCGAGGGAGGUAGGGGUCUGCGGAACUUCUGGUGGAGCGGUGAAAUGCGUAGAUAUCAGAAGGAACGCCGGUGGCGAAAGCGGCGGACUGGACCUUCACUGACGCUGAGGCGCGAAAGCUAGGGGAGCGAACGGG